rnacentral:rRNA from 2 species
UGGGGAAUCUUCCGCAAUGGGCGAAAGCCUGACGGAGCAACGCCGCGUGAGGGAAGAAGGUCUUCGGAUUGUAAACCUCUGUCCUUGGGGACGAAAAAAAUGACGGUACCCAAGGAGGAAGCUCCGGCUAACUACGUGCCAGCAGCCGCGGUAAUACGUAGGGAGCGAGCGUUGUCCGGAAUUACUGGGCGUAAAGGGUGCGUAGGCGGCAUGGUGUGUCAGAUGUGAAAUCCCCGGGCUUAACUCGGGGGGUGCAUUUGAAACUGCUGUGCUUGAGUGCAGGAGAGGAAAGCGGAAUUCCUAGUGUAGCGGUGAAAUGCGUAGAUAUUAGGAGGAACACCAGUGGCGAAGGCGGCUUUCUGGACUGUAACUGACGCUGAGGCACGAAAGCGUGGGGAGCAAACAGG